GCCAUUAAUGGGGUAGUGGUAACCUGGGUCGUUGCCAUUUGGUUCUCGAAUGGAAUCUCGACCCGCCGGGGGUUCGAUUCCCCCUUAAUGCA